rnacentral:sRNA from 21 species
UCGUGCAGCCCUUGAUGGGCGUUUCCUCCCUACACUUCGGGCCGCCCCUCGGGCGGCCCUUUUUCUUGACGGCC